GUAUUGCUUCGGCAAUACGUGUAAUAAAAUUGUAACGAUACACAGAAGAUUAGCAUGGCCCCUGCCUAAGGAUGACAUGCAAAUUCGUGAAGCGUUCCAUAUUUUC
rfam:Octopus bimaculoides Scaffold57431_contig_25, whole genome shotgun sequence.